rnacentral:rRNA from 1 species
GAUGAACGCUGGCGGCGUGCCUAAUACAUGCAAGUCGAGCGAACAGACGAGGAGCUUGCUCCUCUGACGUUAGCGGCGGACGGGUGAGUAACACGUGGAUAACCUACCUAUAAGACUGGGAUAACUUCGGGAAACCGGAGCUAAUACCGGAUAAUAUAUUGAACCGCAUGGUUCAAUAGUGAAAGACGGUUUUGCUGUCACUUAUAGAUGGAUCCGCGCUGCAUUAGCUAGUUGGUAAGGUAACGGCUUACCAAGGCUACGAUGCGUAGCCGAACUGAGAGGAUGAUUGGCCACACUGGAACUGAGACACGGUCCAGACUCCUACGGGAGGCAGCAGUAGGGACUCUUCCGCAAUGGGCGAAAGCCUGACGGAGCAACGCCGCGUGAGUGAUGAAGGUCUUCGGAUCGUAAAACUCUGUUAUUAGGGAGGAACAAAUGUGUAAGUAUCUAUGCACGUCUUGACGGUACCUAAUCAAAAAGCCACGGCUAACUACGUG